GACAGAGGGUGCGAACGUUGUUCGGAAUUAUUGGGCGUAAAGAGCUCGUAGGCGGUUUGUUGCGUCGGCUGUGAAAUCCCGAGGCUCAACCUCGGGUCUGCAGUCGAUACGAGCAAACUAGAGUGUUGCAGGGGAGACUGGAAUUCCUGGUGUAGCGGUGAAAUGCGCAGAUAUCAGGAGGAACACCGGUGGCGAAGGCGGGUCUCUGGACAGUUCCUGACGCUGAGGCACGAAGGUCAGGGGAGCAAACGGG
rnacentral:rRNA from 1 species